rnacentral:tRNA from 1 species
GCGAAAGUGGCGAAACGGCAGACGCACCUGAUUUAGGUUCAGGCGUUAGAAAUAACGUGUGGGUUCAAGUCCCACCUUUCGCA